UGGCUCCCAUGAAACUAGUUUCUCCUGACAUUCGGACAUCCUCCCAGGCCACUCUCCUGUUUGCUCUGCUGGAAUCUUCUUAUUUCUUCCCUCUCUACCUGUAUCCCCCAGGUGGCAGACACUGACUUAUUGAAUCUCUUAAACACGCCAGCCAUCUCUCAGGUCUGGCUGAGGGAACUGUGCGAUAAAGCUAAGGAAGCCCACUAGUGGGUCUGUUCAGCCAUGCAGUCUCAAUCCCACCAAGUAAGCCCGGAGCAUUUCUCCCUAUGGUCUUGCAUCAUCUGAGUCUCCUCCUUCUGCCCAUGCACACAGCAGGUGACUGGACGUGAGAGGAAAAUGUCAGUGUGCAAAGCUGGCAACCAGCCCCACCUCCUUCAACAGCCCUCCUUUCUUCCUCAGUGACGACAGUCGACUUGGCAGCUGGAAUUUUCUGUCUAGGAGCAGAUUUGAUUUGUACUGGGGAGCCGUGUGCUGUAUUGAUCAGCAUGGCUUGGGUGUCAUGUGAGGGACAAUGGACUCUGACCCGGUGAAAAGAUGGAACAAAUGAAUAUACAGAGUUAGAUUCUGGGCAAGGCGGCACGGCACAGAAACAAUUGGUUUACAACCCAUCCGUUUUGCUGGACUACCCAGCUUCGGCAGUCACGAAGUGCUCCGUGAGGUGCCAUCCGGAGCACAGACUGGCCACUCAACUCCUUCCUAUGACGAGCGGAUGGGCUGCAUCAAAAGGCCAAAUGGAAGAUACAGAGAGAGGCCAGUGAAUGUGGCUUGUCAUUCGUUGAUAGCAUUGAUGUAUUUUACAGGGUGGCUUCUCCGAGAGACAACCAUGUUUAAUUGAUGACUGGGAAAUGAGGGAGGUCUUCAUAAUGGUAGCUGUGACUCUGAUUUCAAUUGCAGUGCCAGUCGGAAUGAGGACUAAUACUUCCCUGUCAAAGCAAUUAUCAUAUGAAGUUUAAAAAAAAUAAUACCCCCUGUCCAUCUCCAACCAAAAGAAGAAGAAGGAAGAGGAGAGGGAGGAGAAAGAAGCCUGAUACUAUUGAAUAAAACUAUGGGGACCACAGAAGCUCAAAACAGAACUAAUUCUUUGGACACCUAUAUAGUACAAUAUGUUCUUUAAAUGUGGUUCCUGCUACAUAACCUGAGAACCUAAUGUUGGAAGACUAAUGGGUAAAAUUUGGAGGGGGCAGAGCUUUAAUUGCUAUAAAAAUCCAAAAUGCAUAACAAAGUGUUAUGGUUUAAAUAUGAAAUGUGUCCCCCAUGUGUUUAACAUUGUUCCUCAGCUGUGGCACAGUUUUGGAGGCAGUGGGACCUUUAAGAGGUAGGGCCUCCCAGGAAGGAGUGGGUCACUGUGGUGGGCCUUGAGGGUGUUAGUCCCAGGCCUACUUCCAGUGGAGAUCUGUGCUCACUGAAUGCCACUAGGAUGUGAUCAGAUGCCAUAUAGAUCAUACACCCUGAACCGGGACCCUAAAUAACUCCUUUCCUUGUAUUGUUCCUGUCUGGUGUCCUGCCACAGUGAGAGAAGUAGGAAUUAAUAUGCCAUGGUUAGAAAGUGGUAGAUUAAAACACAUCCGGGAGGACCUGGGGACAUUGAGGGGUGUGGCUCGGUGGUACAGCACUUGGUCAGCAUGUGCAAGGCCCCUGGGUUCCAUCUAUGCUAUAGCACUAGGAAGAGGAGGCUCUGAGACAUGCAUAAGGCUAGGAAUACCACUAUUGGACAGAGAAAGAGUUAGAAAUUCCCUUGGGCUACACCAAGGCACACAGAAAUCUUCAUUGCCAACAUCACUGGAUGUACAAUCACUAUGGAAACACACCUCUAGCUGUGUCUGUGAGGGUGUUUCCAGGAAACUUCAACUCAAGAGGGAAGACCCAACCUGAAUGUGGGGAGCAUCAUCCCAGACUGUGAUCUUUGUCUGAAUAAGGAGAAAGUGAACUAAGCACCAGAAUUCCUCUCCCCCCCCCCCCUCCUGACUUUGGACACAACAUGACCAGCUGCCUCAAGCUCCUGCCCCAUGGCUUCUCUGUGAUGAUGGACUGUAACAUCAAACUAUGAGCCAAGAUGAACCUCCCCUUCCUAAAGUUUCUUGUGUCGGGUAAUUUCUCAUAGCAACAAGAGAAGUAACAAUGUGGGCACUCUGUUGUCAGGGACAAGAACAAAAUCUCUAAUUAGUGGAAAAAUACAGACCCCCGAUAAGACAGGGAACUAGAUCAUCUUACAGUCAGGUUGCCUAGCAACAGGACAUUGAGUCAGAGCCCUUGACUCUUUCACCCUGUAAACAUCCUAUACAAACAUCCUGUUAGCUUGCCCCAUCUUAUGCAGAUGACGGC